UACGUAGGGUCCGAGCGUUGUCCGGAAUUAUUGGGCGUAAAGAGCUCGUAGGCGGUUUGUCGCGUCUGCUGUGAAAUCCCGAGGCUCAACCUCGGGUCUGCAGUGGGUACGGGCAGACUGGAGUGCGGUAGGGGAGAAUGGAAUUCCUGGUGUAGCGGUGAAAUGCGCAGAUAUCAGGAGGAACACCAGCGGCGAAGGCGGCGCUCUGGGCCGGAACUGACGCUGAGGAGCGAAAGCGUGGGUAGCAAACAGG
rnacentral:rRNA from 1 species